GCGCACUUUGUCAGCUCAUACACUAAAUUUAGGAUGGCACAGAGAAGAUUGGCAUGGCCUCUGCACAAUGGACAUGUAAAUCUGUGAAACAUUCCACACUAUC